ensembl:snRNA
GUGUUGUGUGAUGGGAGAAGUUUAGCCCUCUCUAUGACAAGGAUGAAGAGAGAGGCCCCCUCCUGCCAGCACACAGCACAGCUGAGGCCUUCCCACCCACCUCAGGGCAGCUGACCAUUGUUU